rnacentral:rRNA from 1 species
UACGUAGGCAGCGAGCGUUGUUCGGAAUUACUGGGCGUAAAGAGUGUGUAGGCGGCGCUCUAAGUUCGGUGUGAAAUCCCUCGGCUUAACCGGGGAACUGCGUCCGAUACUGGAGGGCUUGAGUGUGGGAGAGGGAUGCGGAAUUCCAGGUGUAGCGGUGAAAUGCGUAGAUAUCUGGAGGAACACCGGUGGCGAAGGCGGCAUCCUGGACCAUGACUGACGCUGAGGAGCGAAAGCCAGGGGAGCAAACGGG